CAGUCGCCACGGUAAAACGUAGGGUGCAAGCGUUAAUCGGAAUUACUGGGCGUAAAGCGUGCGCAGGCGGUUAUAUAAGACAGAUGUGAAAUCCCCGGGCUCAACCUGGGAACUGCAUUUGUGACUGUAUAGCUAGAGUACGGCAGAGGGGGAUGGAAUUCCGCGUGUAGCAGUGAAAUGCGUAGAUAUGCGGAGGAACACCGAUGGCGAAGGCAAUCCCCUGGGCCUGUACUGACGCUCAUGCACGAAAGCGUGGGGAGCAAACAGGAUUAGAUACCCGUGUAGUCCCUGUCUCUUAUAC
rnacentral:rRNA from 1 species